rnacentral:lncRNA from 1 species
GAAACAUGCUCCCAAUCAGCAGAAUGAUGAACGAACAGCAAAGCACCUUUUCUUCAUCACAUAUAGAGGUUAACUGUCUGCUUCAUCCUCAUGGGAGAUUCAGAGUGCGGCUGGCGAGGGAGAAGCAGGCCACCUGAGGGGAAGAGUGUUUCUUGUUUGUCAGCCACUGCCUUCCCAGCCCUCUGCUGCUGCGUGAACAAGCUCCAGUGCCUCCGUGGAAGCAUCACGUCCCAUGGAAGACUUUAUGGGCAUGGCACUGAGUGGCUGAUCAGGUGGAAGAUGUACGUGAAGGAGAAGGUGAGGACUGGCAAUAUACGUGUUAGGCAUCUUCCAUCAAGUAGUAACCCAGCCUGACUUUGAAGAUGUUACGUGGGAAACAGGCCACCUCUGGCAAACCUCUGACAAAUAAUAACAGCGAGAUCAAGGGCCAGAAAACAGGAAAUACAGGAUGUGUCCUCCAUGUGGGGCUUGAUCCAUCGCUGGCGCAGAUCAGCAUCAUGCCAUUGGAAGAAGAGAGUUUGUAUAGACUGAGACCAGCUGAACACCAGUUACCAAUGAAAUAAAGUAGUUCUGUGAAUAAACA